UCAUAACUUUUUCAGUGAAACACGUAUAGUGGUCACUAUAAAUACAUUUGCCUGAUGGCGUUAUGUUACUAUACUUAUUAUAAUAUGGAUACUAAUUUAUGGAGAGUUACAUUAUACAUGAAUCCUCGAAAGGAUUUGUUGAGACAUUUACAUUUUCAGAGAUAAGACCGGGUAAUGGCUGAAUAAUUUUAGCAUAUUUUUCAUAUAAUUAUUUUGAUAAAACGUCAAGCCAGGUAUAAAACAUAUGAUUAAUCUCAAAUUUUGUUUUGCGUUGUUAAGAAGCGAAAUUCGAAAUAAUUCAAUGCUAAUUUUUAAAUCUCACAGGUAUCACUUUUUCAGUUACCUUUUUAACUGUUUUAUUUUAUUUUUUUGUUUUAUCGUCACAAGCCAAGACAAAUAUAUUACACUAGGCUAUAGGUGUAUUUUCAGUGUGACUGUAACGCAAACAAUAAUAAUAAUUGUUCAGAUAAUCACUUCGUAUUAACACGCGACCAGCUAUGUUUUUACUGCAUUGCAUGCACACACCACGGGAACAAAAAAAAAAAACAAAUAAAAAAAAAAUUAUGGUCGUUGCUGGUCAUUAUUCUGUGCAAUCGUGCUACUGUCUCUAGUCUAAACGCUCUUCAAGUCGUUUCCCGGAUGGCGUCCAAAAAACCGCGACGUCGCAUCAGCGUAUUAUUAUCAUACACCUAUUAUAUGUGACGUAAACACAGUCGUCAUACUGGGGCCGGGGGUUCUAAUACACUACCAUCGUUACUAUUACGAUGGGCACUAGUAUAAUAAUAAAAUGGAAUAAAAAAAAUUUUAUGUCGACUACGCGUAUAAUACUACCACAACGGACGACGUACACUAUAAAACUGGUUUCAUUCGCCUAAUUAUAUUCUGCCUGCCGCAACAAUAUUAAUGCGAGUACGACUGUGCGUAUAUUAUAUAGGUAUAAUAUGGACGACGACGUGUGCGCGUUGCUCGCCGAAUGGCAAAAUGGUGAAUAAACAAACAAACAAACAAACAGACAGACAAACCGACGGACGAAACAACCGUUACCGGCAACACCUUGACCCACAAGAAUAAAAUGUAAAACGUUUCCUCUGUACUUCGUACGACGUGCUUAAUUGACGUAAAAACACACACAAAUAUAGUCACGCACACAAGCACACACACAUACGGUGUUAUGAUGGGAUUGGUUUCUGUUCGCACGGGCAACGGAAACGAAAAAAACAAUUUAAAUUUUGUGACUUUUCGCGCGCGGACUGAUUCAAGUGCAACUAACCCCCGCGCCCACUCCUACACGUUGCACGCCCGACUAAAUGUUGUACACGACAGUGGGACAUAAUAUCAUCGGCACAGUGUAUUACGGCCAUUGUUGUGGGAAGAAAUUAUAUCUAAAUCUUUAUCGGGAUAAGGAUAGGUAAACAAUCAUUAAUAUAAUAAAUUAAUAACAUAUAGACGGUUAUCCAGAUAUAAAGAUAAAUUAAGUACGACGAAUUAAAAAGUAUAAAACGAUAAAAGAUAAUUAUUUUGUUUUUAACUAAAGCGUGUAGAUCGCAAAUAAAGAUCAAUAAUUAUAGGCGUUUGUUGAACUACAUGAUAUACCAUUGUAUCUAUAAAUUACAUUAGCGAAAAAGAAUGUCAUGCAUCACACAAAAAUGGGACUCUCUGGCUCUGGCCUGAUUAUUAUAGUAUAUAAUAUAUUAUUAUAAUGCAUAAUAUAUAGGAUGGUUCAUCGAGCAUGCGAACUCAAAUUUUUGCAUUGAUGAUGAAUUUAUUAUUUACUGUGUUAUAUUAAAAAUUUCACUUUUCGAUAUCUCUGCGCCUCGCCGUGUUAACGAUUAUUAUUGUAAUAUUGGUCGCCGACGCGUAUCACGCAUAAUAUUAUUAUCAUAGGUACGGUCGUACGGAGCUGCGCAGCAAUGAUAUCGCGUACCCGGAUCUAGCUGACAGCUUUUUUUUUUAUUAACCCUUUGGGUGAUCGGUGACGGCGGAGCAGGUUUCACUUUCUUAUCGGCAUACAAUAAUAGUCAUAUAUUGGUGUAUAUAUAUACAUAAUACGAUAAUACACGUGAUACCGCCGAUACCGGUUUGAAAUUCGCCCGUGCGAGUAUAUAACACAACUGGACACUCUGACAGCGGAGAAACAAACGAGACGCGGCGCUAUGGUAAUGUACGUGUGGUAUGAACGUAUAAUAAUACAUGUGUGGGAAUAUAUUAUUAUCAUAUCAUAAGGCGUAUGCGCUAUGGUAUAAAGACGGCCCUAUUAAAAUUUAUAAUAUUAUAAUGUAUGUACGUUUCGAUCAUAACGCACCGAGCUCGAAACACAAGCAAGCGCUAUAAUACUUUAGUGGUUAAUAUUUUAUUCCGUUCGCGGAUUGCAUCGUGGGCAGGGGUGGUCUCUUCAAGACAUCGUGGGCGCAAGUGCGCUUUUCGAAACGACAUCGCUCACGCCGCGGGUGCAGAAGGGAGAACAUCAUCACCAUUAUUAUUAUUAUUAUUAUUAUUAUUAUUAUAAGAUUCGAGGCUGUCAGCUGCGUAUAAUAAUAAUAUCAUUAGGAUAAAGUGGGUAGGUAGUUGUGUUGUAUAGGUAAAGGUUAGGGCGCGAGAGGGAUCAUCGUCGUGUCGGAGACGAACGUUUUCCGCUGCUCGCUGUGGUUUGUAUCGAUUGCCUCACGAACCGGGGUUGACGAAUCUCGUCAUAAUCUCGGCACAUCAAUAAAAUAUUAUACAGUGCGAGGUCGAUCGACUCGUUUCGUUGCAGACACACACGAACGAUAAGUUAUUAUUAAUACCUAUAAUUUUAAGAACACGGCGCACCGUGGUUAGCGUAUACGCGGAUAUACGAUUCGAGAGACACGAACUCCGUUUUCGGUCCCGACGAUUUUCCGAUAAUAUUUUUUCCAUCAUUAAAUCAUAUCUAUAUAAUUGCUAAAUCCAUCCGGUCGUGCCAUAGUACAUUAUUAAUCCUUACGGUCGGCAAGACGCCAAAACGUCACUGACAGGGUCCCGCUAUAGAAACUACCAGUCGUCCGAGAGGCUUAUUACGUCUAUUUAAUUUGGUCGUACAACUAUAUGUUGUGGAAAACUUACGCGAUGACUUUUAUUUUCGAAAUCGAUUCUGACGCUUUUCCCAACCACAACCAGACGAGUCGGCGAAUUCGGUCCGACACCGUGUACAAAAAUACUAUAAUGUAAUAUUUAGGUACAGUUAUUGUCAUUACAAUAUUUUAACGAAUAUACUAAUUCUAUUUUAUACGAUGGCAGUUCGCAUAUAUACUAUUAUUAUAUAUUUCAGUACACAUAUAUAUAUAUAAGUGUCCCCGCGGUCGAGUACCAUGAUAUACGUAUAUUUAUAUACGACGAAUCAAUUUCCAGCGGUCCGCUGAACCCAGUAAUGACCGACGAGGUUAUAAUAUGACAUAAUAUUGCGUUGUACACAAUAGAAACAUAUUUUAUACUAUUUCGUCGAGUGCGUGACACGAGUAUUUCGUUUCAAACAAGUCGUCUGUAGUGGCCUAUACGAUAUCACGUGUAUUAUGAUUAUCGUACACCAUGUUGUAUUAUUUGAUUCAAAAUUAUGCAUAAAAUAAGCGAUCGAUCGGCACUGUUUUUAAUUAUUGUGAGCUAUAAUAAUGAAUAAUUUAAGUACAGAAAUAUCUAAAUUACAGGUAGGUAAACUGUUAAGUUGUGUAAAGUGCACUGCAGGCUAUUCUGUGCACCCACUUGCUUAUGAGAAUAAUAAUUUUUCAGAAAUUCAAAUAAAAAUAAUAGGUAAUCAAUAAGUCAUUUAAACAGGCAAUUAAAACAUAAAUAUUUUAUACUCUAAUGCAAACAACAAACAAGAUAAACUUUUUUUGCGAGUUGGACAUUUAAAAAAAAAAUUGAACAGAAUAUGGUCCGCAUAAUAUAUGUAUGUGAUCUGUUGAUUAUUAUUGACUUCAGUGAUAAUAAUAGAUUUAAUUUAAAUAUUUUAUGUUUGGCUGCAAUUUCACCCAAGAUUAGUCAUUAAGAUAUUAGUAUAAUAUUUCGCCAAGAAUUUCUUCAAAUCGUUUAUUCCUCUGAUGUUUUUGCAGUAUACCAUAUAAUUAUUAUACUUUCUUACUGGAUAAUUCGUUGGACCUAUAUUAUUCAGUGUAAACCAUUUUUUUUUUUUUUUAAUAACAAUCUGAGAUACGGCGCAAUAAUCACUGUGUUUAUUAGGUUUAUGGCAACUCUACCCACCACAACAAAUUAUACGUACACAAUAAUAGUUUUAUAAUGGUAUAUUUCACAUUGCAGUGUACGCGCAAGCUGCAUCCCUUAUUUUGUGCGCAAACGUGUUCGAGACCAGAUUAGAAAUCAUUUCGUCCGGAAUGAAAAUAAUAACCAGUUGUGGCCUGCAGCCCUUAUAAUAUACACAUUAUACACGUCUUGUGUAUUAUAAACAUUCAUAGUAUAAUAUACGCGCAGCAUCAACACGAAACAUUAUCACGGGUGGGACUUUCUCUGCAGUCACUCUUGCUUUCGUCGCGAUCACGAUAGAAAGUUCUAAAUGCGCUACCGACCCGACCCGACCCCGACACACACACACACGCGCGUAGAUUGUAUAUAAUAAUAUAUAAUAUAUAUAUAUAUUGUAAUGUAUAGCAAUAUAAGCAGCCGGACGUUUCAUCACACGUUUCGAACUUGACCUUACGACCGCAGAGGCGCUUGGCUCGUAAUAAUGCGUUACAUAUAUAUAUAGCAUAACCUAUGUUGUAUUGUUCGCACGAUAGCCAAUAAAUCGACGUCGAAAAAUACACAUAAUAAUAUAAUAAGUGUGUUUGUGUGUGUGGAUUAUAUUGUGUCGCUACGCUAUUGUUUCCGCUGCGGUUUGUUCUACGGCGGUGGUGUUUAUAGGAUAAGAUUAUAGAAUAGCUCCAAAAGCAAAUAAAAUAAUAAAUAUUCCACAGCCCGUAGUCGACGAACCGUAGUCCGAUUGAGUUUGCGUGAAAAACGCGCCGCGGUGAGUGUAAUACAAUAUGCAAAAUAUUAUGUGGUUUAUGUAGGUACAAAAUAUAUAAUAAUUGUCGAUAUUUUGUCACUCGGUGUCGUUUUCAAAUCGAUGUCUUCAUCAAUUCAUAUAUUAUAACCCGCAGCUAUAAAGUGUGUACAGGCAGGCCGACAAUAAUCAAGAUGUAAAUCCAUCCAACGUUCUAAACUGCUCUAUCUGGGAUGAGAAAAAAAACAAAAAACCCGAUACGGAUAAUAUACUAAUAUACACACGAUUGGUGGAUGCUUUUAUAAAAUAUACGAUACAAUAUACAGGUAUAUGUUUAUAGGUAACCGGGUAUCAGUAAAUUACGAUGAUGGAUGAUGUAAUUACAAUAUAUGUUCGAGGGAAAGGACGCUGACAAUGAUGACGGCCAAGAAUACACGAUGAAAUAGGAUUGUGUUUCACGGCGUGUAAGCAUACGGACAAACGUGGAGAUUUCUCCGAUCAACGCUUGUUCGGGUGAUGUACCAAGCCCGUAAUAGGUAGGUAUGUUGAGAAAAAAAUUGUUAAUGGUCACUCGGAACGAUCAAGAGGAGACCGAUAUUCAUUAUAUUUUACUACACACACCCACGUAUAACUAACCACACAUGGAAUUCGACGAAAGUUAGACAACAUUUUAUGCUUUGACCUUCUUUAACGGAUCUCUUGGUUUUGAAUCAUUGACCAAUAAUUAUUGUUUAUUUAUUUUGUUAUAAGUACAAUUUUAUUUAUAAUACUGUGUUCAAGGUGAAAACAACCACUAUAUUUUAUCCAAUAAUAAUAAACGGUUGAUAAUGCCAUGAAGUGAACCUACUUAAAAAAGUUGAGGUGCCAAGUAACUACCAACAUUUUAUAACAUACAAUAAUUAUUGUUAAUGUAUAUAUUUUGCACACAUUUUUAAACACUUAUCAUCUAUAGUUAUCUCUAAAUUAGUUACUGCGAUAUAAAAAAUUUAGUCAGUUGAUAAAAUAUACUUAUCAUAAAUUAUUUUAAAACUAAUUCAUUACAUAGUGUUUUAAAUGUGAUAUUUGUGUGAAAUAAA